rnacentral:misc_RNA from 1 species
GAAACGCGAUAGUUAAUGUGAAUUGCAGAAUUCAGUGAAUCAUCGAGUCUUUGAACGCACAUUGCGCCCAUAGGUAUUCCUUUGGGCAUGUCUGUUUGAGCGUCAUUACAACCCUCAGCUAACCGCUGGUUUUGAACCUGAACGGGUGACACCGCGCCGGUUUUAAAGUCGUAAGCUCUGCUGGCCGCUCUGCCCAACCAGAACAUAGUAAGCACUACUUGUCCGGGUGAAGCUGAACGGUACGGCCUGAACAAAACCUACCCACUCUCAAGGUUUGACCUCAGAUCAGACAAGGAUACCCGCUGAACUUAAGC